rnacentral:rRNA from 1 species
UACGAAGGGGGCUAGCGUUGUUCGGAAUUACUGGGCGUAAAGCGCACGUAGGCGGAUCGAUCAGUCAGGGGUGAAAUUCCAGGGCUCAACCCUGGAACUGCCUUUGAUACUGUCGAUCUGGAGUAUGGAAGAGGUGAGUGGAAUUCCGAGUGUAGAGGUGAAAUUCGUAGAUAUUCGGAGGAACACCAGUGGCGAAGGCGGCUCACUGGUCCAUUACUGACGCUGAGGUGCGAAAGCGUGGGGAGCAAACAGG